rnacentral:rRNA from 1 species
CACGUAGUUAGCCGGUGCUUCUUCUGCAGGUACCGUCUUGAUUCGUUCCUGCUGAAAGAGGUUUACAACCCGAAGGCCUUCAUCCCUCACGCGGCGUCGCUGCGUCAGGCUUCCGCCCAUUGCGCAAUAUUCCCCACUGCUGCCUCCCGUAGGAGUCUGGGCCGUGUCUCAGUCCCAGUGUGGCCGGUCGCCCUCUCAGGCCGGCUACCCGUCGUCGCCUUGGUAGGCCAUUACCCCACCAACAAGCUGAUAGGCCGCGGGCCCAUCCUUGACCGAAAAAACUUUCAACCACCACACAUGCGUGCAGCAGUGAUAUCCGGUAUUAGCAGCUGUUUCCAACUGUUAUCCCGAAGUCAAGGGCAGGUUACCCACGUGUUACUCACCCGUUCGCCACUCGAGUACCCGCAAGCGGGCCUUUCCGUUCGACUUGCAUGUGUUAAGCACGCCGCCAGCGUUCGUCCUGAGCCAGGAUCAAACUCU